rnacentral:rRNA from 1 species
GACGAACGCUGGCGGCGUGCCUAACACAUGCAAGUCGAACGGAACUUCUUUAAAGGAUUUCUUCGGAAUGAAUUUGAUUAAGUUUAGUGGCGGACGGGUGAGUAACGCGUGAGUAACCUGCCUCUGAGAGGGGAAUAACCAUUCUGAAAAGAAUGCUAAUACCGCAUAACAUAUAUUUAUCGCAUGGUAGAUAUAUCAAAGAUUUAUCGCUUAGAGAUGGACUCGCGUCCGACUUAGUUAGUUGGUGAGGUAACGGCUCACCAAGACUGCGAUCGGUAGCCGGACUGAGAGGUUGAACGGCCACAUUGGGACUGAGACACGGCCCA